UACGUAGGGCGCAAGCGUUGCCCGGAAUUAUUGGGCGUAAAGAGCUCGUAGGUGGCGUGUCGCGUCUGCCGUGAAAGCCCAUGGCUUAACUGUGGGUCUGCGGUGGAUACGGGCAGGCUAGAGGCUGGUAGGGGCAAGCGGAAUUCCUGGUGUAGCGGUGAAAUGCGCAGAUAUCAGGAGGAACACCGGUGGCGAAGGCGGCUUGCUGGGCCAGUUCUGACGCUGAGGAGCGAAAGCGUGGGGAGCGAACAGG
rnacentral:rRNA from 1 species